rnacentral:rRNA from 1 species
UACGGGGGGGGCAAGCGUUGUUCGGAAUUACUGGGCGUAAAGGGCUCGUAGGUGGCCAACUAAGUCAGACGUGAAAAUCCCUCAGCUUAACUGGGGAACUGCGUCUGAUACUGGAUGGCUUGAGUUUGGGAGAGGGACGCGGAAUUCCAGGUGUAGCGGUGAAAUGCGUAGAUAUCUGGAGGAACACCGGUGGCGAAGGCGGCGUCCUGGACCAACACUGACACUGAUGAGCGAAAGCCAGGGGAGCAAACGGG